rnacentral:rRNA from 1 species
CCUACGGGGGGCAGCAGUGGGGAAUAUUGCACAAUGGGGGAAACCCUGAUGCAGCGACGCCGCGUGAGCGAGGAAGUAUUUCGGUAUGUAAAGCUCUAUCAGCAGGGACGAAAAAAGACGGUACCUGACUAAGAAGCCCCGGCUAACUACGUGCCAGCAGCCGCGGUAAUACGUAGGGGGCAAGCGUUAUCCGGAUUUAUUGGGUUAAAGGGGUGCGCAGGCGGGAGAUCAAGUCAGCGGUAAAAUGUCGGGGCACAACCCCGGCCGGCCGUUGAAACUGGUUUUCGAGAGUUGGAGAGAAGUAUGCGGAAUUCGUGGUGUAGCGGUGAAAUGCAUAGAUAUCACGAAGAACUCCGAUUGCGAAGGCAGCAUAACGGCUCCAUACUGACGCUGAGGCACGAAAGCGUGGGGAUCGAACAGGAUUAGAUACCCGUGUAGUC